rnacentral:rRNA from 2 species
GACGAACGCUGGCGGCGUGCCUAAGACAUGCAAGUCGAGCGGGGCUUCGGGGCUUCGGCCCUGAAGCCCAGCGGCGGACGGGUGAGUAACACGUGGAUAACCUGCCCUCUGCUCUGGGAUAACAGGCCGAAAGGCCUGCUAAUACCGGAUAAGCUCACGGUCCCGCAUGGGGCUGGGAGAAAAGGCGCUGGAGUCAGUGGCGCUGGCAGAGGAGGGGUCCGCGGCCCAUUAGCUGGUUGGCGGGGUAACGGCCCACCAAGGCGACGAUGGGUAGCCGGCCUGAGAGGGCGACCGGCCACACUGGGACUGAGACACGGCCCAGACUCCUACGGGAGGCAGCAGUCGGGAAUUUUGCACAAUGGCCGAAAGGCUGAUGCAGCAACGCCGCGUGAGCGAAGAAGGCCUUCGGGUUGUAAAGCUCUGUUGCCUGCGAAGAAGGGCCCCGUCAGGAAAUGGGCGGGGUUUGACGGUAGCAGGCGAGGAAGCCCCGGCAAACUACGUGCCAGCAGCCGCGGUAAUACGUAGGGGGCGAGCGUUGUCCGGAAUUACUGGGCGUAAAGGGCGUGUAGGCGGCCUGUUAAGUCAGGGGUGAAAGACCGGGGCUCAACCCCGGGGGUGCCUCUGAAACUGGCGGGCUUGAGUGCUCUAGAGGGCAGUGGAAUUCCCGGUGUAGCAGUGAAAUGCGUAGAGAUCGGGAGGAACACCAGUGGCGAAGGCGGCUGCCUGGGGAGUCACUGACGCUGAGGCGCGAAAGCUAGGGGAGCAAACAGGAUUAGAUACCCUGGUAGUCCUAGCCGUAAACGAUGAGUGCUAUGUGUGAGGGGUAUCGACCCCCCUCGUGCAGGAGCUAACGCACUAAGCACUCCGCCUGGGGAGUACGGCCGCAAGGUUGA